CUUUAUAAUAGUCUUUUUUCCUCUGCAGUAUACUUUACUAGCAGUGUUCUCUAGUUCUGGUUCUCUUCUUCUGGGCCCACAGAUUACCCUUCUCAGCCUGGGCAGUGCAUGGGUGUGGUUCGUUCUGGCCAAUGAGCUGCUGGGAGGAAGGAAUGUGCGCCAUUUCCUGGCUGAAGAGCAGAAGGGCGGUUGUGAGAUCUCUGCAGAUGCUCUUCCCUGUUAAAGGAACCCAGGAGGCUGAGUGCUGGAGACACUGCAGAUACAAGCCAAGAAGCUUCUAUCCACCUGUUGCUGACCCUCGGCAAACAUGCAGCUUGAGCUUCUAUUAUGAUAUAAAGCAACCAAACGCCAUGUCUUAUACUGCCGCAGACUCAAAAAAGCAUCUACAAUGCGGCCCCGAGGGCUGAUCCAUUUAUUGAAGUCAAAAAAAGGUUAGACUUUCUCCUUAACCUC
rnacentral:lncRNA from 1 species